rnacentral:misc_RNA from 1 species
AAGUCGUAACAAGGUUUCCGUAGGUGAACCUGCGGAAGGAUCAUUAACACGUAUCCAACGUUAAACCCCCCUGUGAACCUUCAGUGCGCUCGCACUUUCUUAGAAAAGGUAGCAAUCCCUGGUAAAUCAUUGCCGCUGCGUAGACUGUGCUUGAGCGUGAGGCAAGUGGCCUGGCAUUCCUCUGCUUGUUGGUGUCUGAAAGUGUCACCAGCUCUGUACGAAUGGCGCAGUCACGAUCGCUAGAGGCCGACACGGCCGGCGACCGGGUCACUGGGCGCGAGCCCCCCUCGUCACCUUUGCAUGAAAACGGGCCUGCGCUUAAUUGUGCGGCCACCAAACUCGAACAACUGUUAACAAUGGAUAUCUUGGUUCUC